rnacentral:rRNA from 1 species
CCAGACUCCUACGGGAGGCAGCAGUGGGGGAUAUUGCACAAUGGGGGGAACCCUGGUGCAGCGACGCCGCGUGAACGAAGAAAUAUUUCGGUAUGUAAAGUUCUAUCAGCAGGGAAGAAAAUGACAGUACCUGACCAAGAAGCCCCGGCUAACUACGUGCCAGCAGCCGCGGUAAUACGUAGGGGGCGAGCGUUAUCCGGAUUCACUGGGCGUAAAGGGAGCGCAGGCGGCACGGCAAGUCCGGUGUGAAAGCCCGGGGCCCAACCCCGGGACUGCACUGGAAACUGCCGGGCUGGAGUGCCGGAGGGGUAAGCGGAAUUCCUGGUGUAGCGGUGAAAUGCGUAGAUAUCAGGAGGAACACCGGCGGCGAAGGCGGCUUACUGGACGGCAACUGACGUUGAGGCUCGAAAGCGUGGGGAGCAAACAGGAUUAGAUACCCCAGUAC